rnacentral:rRNA from 1 species
UACGAAGGGGGCUAGCGUUGUUCGGAUUUACUGGGCGUAAAGCGCACGUAGGCGGACAUUUAAGUUGGAGGUGAAAGCCUUGGGCUCAACCCAAGAAUUGCCUUUGAUACUGGAUGUCUCGAGACCGGGAGAGGUGAGUGGAAUUCCGAGUGUAGAGGUGAAAUUCGUAGAUAUUCGGAAGAACACCAGUGGCGAAGGCGGCUCACUGGCCCGGUUCUGACGCUGAGGUGCGAAAGCGUGGGGAGCAAACAGG